AUGUCUGGGACAGUCAGUGUGUGUUACGUGGUCUUCUCAAGCCUCAUCAACUAUUGGUUCUCUUUCGGCUCACUGAAGCAUCAGCAGAUCCUUGGAAACAAGUGCCCAAAGACUGUCCAAUAUCCCAACUCUACCAGGCACGACUGAGUAAAACCAGUACUUUCUUUUAAAGGCUUUGGGAGACAUGCUGUGUUCACGAUAUUGGAUUAUAGCUUUUGUCAGGGUGCAGGACUAAUAGGAUUGCUAGGUGAUCACCGCUUUAGAAAUAUUAUUUAGUAUUUUCAGGAUUGAUUGCUUCACAGGUCCCUUCAGGUGGUUAAUACAGCAGCAGUUGGGAAGGCUUUGUCAUGGGGCCAUACCCACAAAAGCACCACCAGCAAGUCUUGGAAAUGACACAAUACCCUUCCUUUCCCCAUCCCUCUUCAAACAAUAAGUAAAAAAGUAAAACAGUAAGCAAAAGAGUUAAAAAUCCUCUCCUGGACAGGGAGGCUGUUAGUAUUCUGAAAAAGCCCAAACCUAAGCCUUAGCACUUAUCUCUAGGGGCCCAACUUGUAUAGAUGUGGAACUUCAUUCAAAGCAGAUUGGCAAGCGAUUGUGUCCUCUUCCAUUUAGAGUCUGGGGACAGGCAGAGAAAGAGAUGCUUAAGCCUUAAUUGCUUUUAUCAGAAUGAUAACAUUUAGAUACAUUAGUAGCCACUUAUUUAAGACUGACAUUCUGUCACUGGAAUUUAUUGUGAAAGAUAUUUGACUAAAAGGAAUACACUCCAAACAUGUACUGUUAAUCUUUUUUAAUGGUUAAAAAAAACACAAAAACACUUGUGCAUUUUUUUUGGUAUUGUUUCAAAGUUUAUUAGUCCAUUUCCUGGAAAAUGUAUGUAAAAGGACAUACUUUUUAGCACCUCUGUUCCUGUGGUAAUGCAUUAUUUGCUGUGUUACUUUAUUAAACUGAAUUCUAUUUAUUUACUUUGUCUUUUAAUUUCUUCUAAGGGGGGACUUGGGUGCUAGCCAGUGUCUCCAUAGAACUAAAUAGUCAGCAAUUCAGAGAAGCUGGUCAGCUUUUGUUGAUUUCACUACAGGGGUUGCUUUAAUUAAUUUCAUAAAAAUUGAACUCACUUCAUGAGUCCUAGCUUUUCUGUCUCCUCUUUACU
rnacentral:lncRNA from 1 species